rnacentral:rRNA from 1 species
AAUCAACGCUGGCGGCGUGCCUCAGACAUGCAAGCCGAACGCGAAAGUUCCCUUCGGGGGAUAAGUAGAGUGGCGUCCGGGUGAGUAACACGUAGGUAAUUUGCCUUUGGGUGGGGAAUAACUCAGGGAAACUUAGAGCUAAUACCGCAUAAUGCAGCGGCUCGACAUCGAGACAGUUGUUAAAGCGGGGGAUCGCAAGACCUCGCGCCUGAAGAGAAGCCUGCGGCAGAUAGCUAGUUGGUAGGGUAAUGGCCUACCAAGGCGACGAUCUGUAACCGGCCUGAGAGGGCGGUCGGUCACACUGACACUGACAUACGGGUCAGACUCCUACGGGAGGCAGCAGUCGGGAA